CGGCGGCAAACAUUUUUUACUAACCAAAUUUGUUUUGUGUAUGUCCAAAGUUUAGUGGUUUCGUUUUCGUUUUGACAGAUGGUAAAUGAUCUUUAUAUGACUAGAUAUAGAACCUAAGGUGUCAAGAAGAAAUAAUUAAUAUUAUAGGGUUAUGGCAUGAAUAUUGGAGAAUUUGAUAUACAUGUACAUAUAGAUAACCAAAAGAUACCUACUUAUUUGUUAUAUCAGGUUGUCCUGACAUAGAGAAUUCCAGAAGUUGGUUCAUUUCUGUCGUACUUGUUUUUCUUCAAUUGUUCUUUGAUAAAUUAGUCCGUUAGUUUUCUCAACUGAAUUGUUUCCAAUUUGUAAUGCUUUUAAGGCCGACUUUACGAUAUGGGUAUUUUUCAUUGCUGAAGGCCAUACGGUUUGUCCCACUCCGCAAUCUGCCCUUUGAUCACAGUUUUUUUUUUUUUUUUUAAAUAUAUGCACCAUUUAAGCA
rnacentral:lncRNA from 1 species